rnacentral:rRNA from 14 species
UAUGGACGUUUAUCAAUGCGAAAAGUCACUUGAAGAGAAUCCUCAAUGACAAGUGAAUCUCCAAUGUGGAAAACCACAACAUAUAACAUACUACAAAGGGAACUGAAACAUCUAAGUACCUUUAGGAAAAGAAAUCAACCGAGAUUCCGUAAGUAUUGGCGAAAGAAAGCGGAAAAGACAACGCAAAAACUCUAUCAAACAGAACAAGGUGGGAUCCUUGACCAAAGAUGGUGAUAGUCCAGUAUUCUUUGAAAGGUUUUUGGAAUUUGAAGUAAAACAAAUCAAAUUGUUUGAAUAAAAGGAGGCCCACCUUCUUUGUCUAAAUAUAUUGUUAAGACCGAUAGUGAACAAGUACCGUGAGGGAAAAGUGAAAAGAACCCUAGAAAAGGGAGUGAAAAAGAUCCUGAAAUUUAAAACGUACAAGCAGUCAAACAAAUCAUGGAAUUUGUGUGGCGUACCUUUUGCAUAAUGGGUCAGUGAGUAAAUAAAUUCAGCUUGCUUAAUCGGAUACGUGGAGGCGAAGCAAAAGCGAGUAUGCAAAAUGCAUUCUGUUGGAUUUAUUUGACCCGAAACUAAGUGAUCUACCUAUGAACAGGUUGAAGAAAGCGUAAUUUCUUUUGGAGGACCGAACCGACGUCUGUAGCAAUAGGCGCGGAUGAUUUGUGGGUAGGGGUGAAAGGCCAAU